UCUCUCUCCCUACGCUACUCCCCUUCAGCACUCUCCGCCUCUCCAUCGACCCACUCGCCGUCUCUGAAGUCGAUGUCGUUUUGCACCGAUCUUUAUCCGGCUGGAGCUGAGUCGCCGGUGACCACUGGACCUCCAUCUACGACUGGAAAGCUACCUAGAGACGAAAUGGAAGGCGACGACAAUCAUGAAGACGGUCGGAGCUGCGGCCGAGAUUCGGUGCUCGAGACUCGAUCUGUGCCUACAACUUCUUCUUUCUCAUCGCGGAUUUCGUUCUCAUUUCCCGCUCCCAAAACCGUAACCCGAGCGCCGCGUCGGCUUUUCCACUGUCUGUGAGUCCUCUCAAUUUUCAAUUUCAGACAUAUUUUUCCUUUAAUUUCUUGAACCAUUUUUAUGCAUUCCACUGGUUAAUUUUGUUUCUGUUGCUGUUUCUUUUGUUUCGAUGCUAAUUGUUGAUAUUUUGUGUUCGUUUUCAUGGAUUUGGGAGAAAAUGGUGGAGUGGAGGCCAAAGAUUGCAUCAAGAUCAAGGAUAUGGCAUUCAAGGCCUCAGGAGCCUACAAAAACUGCAAGCCAUGUUCGAGGCUGUGUGGCGACCACCGGAAAGGGAACUGUUCGGACUCUGAUAUGUCGGCAAAGUGAGUUUGUGAUGUGAACUGAAUUAAUUUGUAUACUGAUGCAUUUGAUUGCAGGAUAUUCAUGGAAAUGAUGUAAAGCUAAGUGAGAACAGCGGCAAGGUUCUUCUGAUUGUGAAUGUUGCUUCAAAAUGGUUUUGAGAUCCUGGCAUUUCCUUGCAACCAGUUUGCAGGACAAGACGUUUCCUGGAAUGAGGAGAUUCAGGAAGUUGCAUGUACGAAGUUGAAAGCUGAAUUUCCAAUCUUUGACAAGGAUGAGGCUCCCCUUUACAAGGUCUUAAAAUUGGAGAAAGGUGGUCUCUUUGGAAAUGGCAUCAAAUGGAACUUUACCAAGUUUGUUGUUUAGACAAGGAUCUACAUACAGAAGACAUGGGGCGGGUUAAAGAAAACAUAGGGAAGAAAGUGAAAAAGAAGAUUAUGAAGAAGAAGCAAAAAUUCCAACGAGGAAGAAAAAGGAUAUGAAGAAGAGUAGCAAGGACAUACGAAAUUUUAGAAAUUUGUUUAGGGCUUAGGAUAGUGACUUGGCCAAUUGUAAACUCUAUUGGCCAAACUCUAGCUUACUAAAUCAAUUAGUUUUUUUAUAUCUUUUUAUGGUGUCACUAUUAUGUUUAGUUUUUCUUAA